rnacentral:rRNA from 1 species
AAACGGAGAAGUGGGGAUGACGUCAAAUCAUCAUGCCCUUAUGUUCUGGGCUACACACGUGCUACAAUGGCCGGUACAGACGGACGCAAAGCCGCGAGGUGGAGCAAAUCCUAAAAAGCCGGUCUCAGUUCGGAUUGCAGGCUGCAAUUCGCCUGCAUGAAGUCGGAAUCGCUAGUAAUCGCAGGUCAGCAUACUGCGGUGAAUACGUUCCCGGGCCUU